GUUCUACAUAUGAUACAAUUAAUUAACAAAUAUUGAUACUUUAUAACUAAAAUCCAUAGUUUACAUCAAGGUUCACUCUUUGGGUUUUGCAGUUAUAUGGGUUUUGACAAAUGUGUAAUGUCACAUAUCCACCAUUACAGAAUUAUACAGAAGAAUUGUCCUGAACCUGAUGCGGUGGUGCAUGCCUGUAAUCCCAACGGCUCGGGUGGCUGAGGCAGAAGGAUCACAAGUUCAAAGCCAGCCUUAGCAACAGCGAGACACUAAGCAACUCAGUGAAACCCUGUCUCUAAAUAAAAUACAAAAUAGGGCUGGGGAUGUGGCUCAGUGGUCAAGCGCCCCGGAUUUUAACCCCCAGCAUUACCCCCACCAAAAUAAUAACAAUAAUAAUAAUAAUAAUAAUAAUAAUAAUAAUAACCACCACCACCAUCCUGAAAAUGCCCUGUGCUUCUAAAUUGUGGCAACCACUGAUAUUUGAUAUUCUUUCACUUUCCUAGAAUGUCACAUAGUUGGAAUUAUAUGAUAGGUAGCUUUUCCAGACUGGCAUCUUUCACUUAGCAAUAUGAAUUAAUGGUUCCUCCAGGACUUUUCAUAGCUUGAUAUUCCAUUUCUUUUAUCACUGAAAAAUAUUCCAUCACAUAGAUGUACCAGUUUGAUUAGCCAUUCACCUAUUGAAGAAUAUCUUAGUUGUUUCCAAAUUUGGGCAAUUAUUACCAAAACUAAUAUAAACAUCCUUAUGCAGGUUUUUGUUAGAUGCAAGUAUUCAACUCAUUUUGGUAAAUACUACCUAGGAACAAAAUUUCUGUAUCAUGUAGUAAAAUUAUUUCUAGUUUUAUGAGAAACUGCCAGAGUGUUUUUCAAAAAACCUGCAAUUUUGCAGUAAAUGAGAGUUCCAGUUGCUCCACAUUCUCAUCAGCAUUUGGAGUUCUCAGUUAUUUGGAUUUUUAGCCAUUUUCAUAGAUGUGUAGUAGUAUCUUAUUGUUCUAAUUUGCAAUUCCCUAGUGACAUAUGAUAUUAAGCAUGUUUUCAGAGACAUGUCUAUCUUAUAUCUUAUUGUUCAACUGUAUAUCUUUGGUGGAUUUGCUAUCUGCACAAAUAUUUUGCCCAUUUUUAAAUUAGGUUAUCUGUUUUCUUCUUACUGAGU
rnacentral:lncRNA from 1 species